AAAGGUGAAACCGCGAACGGCUCAUUACAACAGCUAUUAUUUACUUGAUNUUGAUAUCCUACGUGGAUAACUGUGGUAAUUCUAGAGCUAAUACAUGCACCAAAGCUCCGAGNAAUGANGAGCGCAUCUAUUAGACUAAAACCAAUCGGGCGCAAGCUCGUGUUUUGGUGACUCUGAAUAGCUACAGCUGAUCGCAUGGUCACGUACCGGCGACNUGUCUAUCAAGUGUCUGCCUUAUCAACUUUCGAUGGUAGUUUAUGUGCCUACCAUGGUUGUUACGGGUAACGGAGAAUAAGGGUUCGACUCCGGAGAGGGAGCCUGAGAAACGGCUACCAC
rnacentral:rRNA from 1 species